GACAAGGUCAGCUAAUUAAGCUUUCGGGCCCAUGCCCCGAACAUGCCGGUUAAAAUCCCCCCCUCGUCA
rnacentral:tRNA from 1 species